rnacentral:rRNA from 1 species
UGAGGAAUCUUGCGCAAUGGGGGCAACCCUGACGCAGCAACGCCGCGUGAGUGAGGAAGGUCUUCGGAUCGUAAAGCUCUGUCGGAUGGAAAGAACCGCAUAGGGGCAAACAGCCCCUGUGUCUGACGGUACCGUCAAAGGAAGCACCGGCUAACUCCGUGCCAGCAGCCGCGGUAAUACGGGGGGUGCAAGCGUUGUUCGGAAUUAUUGGGCGUAAAGAGCGUGUAGGCGGCCGGAUAUGUCAGAUGUGAAAGCCCUGGGCUUAACCCAGGAAGUGCAUUUGAAACUGUCCGGCUCGAGUAGGGGAGAGGGAAGUGGAAUUCCUGGUGUAGAGGUGAAAUUCGUAGAUAUCAGGAGGAACACCGGUGGCGAAGGCGACUUCCUGGCCCUAUACUGACGCUGAGACGCGAGAGCGUGGGUAGCAAACAG